rnacentral:rRNA from 1 species
UAGAAUUGACGGGACCGCACAAGCGGUGGAUGAUGUGGUUAAUUCGAUGCAACGCGAAAACCUUACCACCUUUGACAUGUACGGAAUCCUUUAGAGAUAGAGGAGUGCUCGAAAGAGAGCCGUAACACAGGUGCUGCAUGGCUGUCGUCAGCUCGUGUCGUGAGAUGUUGGGUUAAGUCCCGCAACGAGCGCAACCCUUGUCAUUAGUUGCUACAUUUGGUUGGGCACUCUAAUGAGACUGCCGGUGACAAGCCGGAGGAAGGUGGGGAUGACGUCAAGUCCUCAUGGCCCUUAUAGGUGGGGCUACACACGUCAUACAAUGGCUGGUACAAAGGGUUGCCAACCCGCGAGGGGGAGCUAAUCCCACAAAGCCGAUCGUAGUCCGGAUUGUUCUCUGCAACUCGAGAGCAUGAAGUCGGAAUCGCUAGUAAUCGCAGGUCAGCAUACUGCGGUGAAUACGUUCCCGGGUCUU